UUUCAUUCCGUUGAUGCUUCAGCAAUCCUUUCAUCUCACCAUGCCCACAUGCUCGGAUGAAGCAAUUCUCAACGGCGGUUGCUGGUUGACUCGUCACAGGUCACAGCGAUUAGUGCCAAUUAGCCUGAUCGUGCAGUGAUGCCAGCUGGAUCACGCCGCCGUGCCUCCCUCUCUCCCUUCUCUUCUUUUCCCCUACCUCUCUCUCUUCUCUGAACUGCUCCUCUCUGCAGGUGCCGCCAUGGCCGCGUCUUGGAGCUCGCCGCCGUGGGCUGCGCGCCCCUUUGAUGACGGCCUUCCUCGCCCACGUCCAGGGUCAUUCACCUGGUUGGCCUCUUAUGCAACUGGUGUUGUUGUGUCCAUGUGGAAGGAGAGCCCGCUUCUCCGGGACGCCGGCGCUGACAUGCUCACCGUAGGCGCCGUCAUGGCGGUGCUCGACUUCAGGGAGGAGGUCGGCGACCACUACUUCUUGGACCAACGUAAAAAUGUCAUAAAUACAGUCACAAACCCAUCAGAUCUAUGCUAUGGAUGCCAUGGUGAUUGCUAGAAGGGAGGGUUCCUGGGAUGAUGAGAAGAUGAAUCUAAAUGGUCUGACAGUCUGAGUACUCGUCGGCAUGACGAGGUGACUACGGAUCCACCGGAACAUGUGAGUGGCAAUGCUCCAGGACAAGCAGGUCAAACUAUUGUCCAAAUAAUUUUUUGUACGAUUGGAAGUGCAAGCAUUUCUCCAAAAUGGUUUGGUCCUGGUGUUCAUGCAGCCGGCGAUGGCAUACCUUAACAGAAUGGAGUACGGCGUAGGUGAGGGUUGUAUCAGGCCGCAUGGGAAGAACCUGAAGUUGCAAGUGGAUACAGUCAAGAACAUAGUUAAAGGUGAUAUGGGAGAUAAGUUCCCUAGGCAAGCUGGAUUGAAGCUUGAUGAGCCGAACCCAAGGGACGUGCUUAGUUUCUACCACAAAAUUCUAUCAUUCACAUCAACGGAUGUUGCAAAGUAAGUAAAAAAUGUACUAGAGUCAGAUAUUUGUUGGCAACGGCUUAUUGGGUUUGUUCAAAACAAUGUUACUUACACUAGCAAGAAGUGGUUCAAGCAUACUUAUCCAAAUCUUAUAAUCCUGAGGGGGAAGACUUUGUGAAGGAGUUCAGUCUGAAUGGCCAGUUAACAAGAAUCAGGUGGAUCUGCGUGUGGUGGAUGAUCGUUUACAAGGAAUGUUGAAUGUAUGGUUCCUGGAGAUGUUCAGGUGGCGCCACGUAUUCGACCUGCGAUUUGUGGUAAAUUACGAAAUGUACAGUGAAAAUCGAUCUUUGAGAUACAGAUAAAUUGGUUUUGCACAUAAAAAAUAUGCACAGUGAAACAAAAGCAGCAGACAUAUGCAAUCUAUUUGCUGAGCUGCAUCACUAGCUCAAACAGAUGCAUACAGUAUUAUGUGCUGAUCUUCUUAGAUGGUGGAUAUAUCAAUUUUUAAACAAGAAA